UGUAUAAUGGGUCAGCGACUUAUAUUCUGUAGCAAGGUUAACCGAAUAGGGGAGCCGAAGGGAAACCGAGUCUUAACUGGGCGUUAAGUUGCAGGGUAUAGACCCGAAACCCGGUGAUCUAGCCAUGGGCAGGUUGAAGGUUGGGUAACACUAACUGGAGGACCGAACCGACUAAUGUUGAAAAAUUAGCGGAUGACUUGUGGCUGGGGGUGAAAGGCCAAUCAAACCGGGAGAUAGCUGGUUCUCCCCGAAAGCUAUUUAGGUAGCGCCUCGUGAAUUCAUCUCCGGGGGUAGAGCACUGUUUCGGCAAGGGGGUCAUCCCGACUUACCAACCCGAUGCAAACUGCGAAUACCGGAGAAUGUUAUCACGGGAGACACACGGCGGGUGCUAACGUCCGUCGUGAAGAGGGAAACAACCCAGACCGCCAGCUAAGGUCCCAAAGUCAUGGUUAAGUGGGAAACGAUGUGGGAAGGCCCAGACAGCCAGGAUGUUGGCUUAGAAGCAGCCAUCAUUUAAAGAAAGCGUAAUAGCUCACUGGUCGAGUCGGCCUGCGCGGAAGAUGUAACGGGGCUAAACCAUGCACCGAAGCUGCGGCAGCGACGCUGAUGCGUUGUUGGGUAGGGGAGCGUUCUGUAAGCCUGCGAAGGUGUGCUGUGAGGCAUGCUGGAGGUAUCAGAAGUGCGAAUGCUGACAUAAGUAACGAUAAAGCGGGUGAAAAGCCCGCUCGCCGGAAGACCAAGGGUUCCUGUCCAACGUUAAUCGGGGCAGGGUGAGUCGACCCCUAAGGCGAGGCCGAAAGGCGUAGUCGAUGGGAAACAGGUUAAUAUUCCUGUACUUGGUGUUACUGCGAAGGGGGGACGGAGAAGGCUAUGUUGGCCGGGCGACGGUUGUCCCGGUUUAAGCGUGUAGGCUGGUUUUCCAGGCAAAUCCGGAAAAUCAAGGCUGAGGCGUGAUGACGAGGCACUACGGUGCUGAAGCAACAAAUGCCCUGCUUCCAGGAAAAGCCUCUAAGCAUCAGGUAACAUCAAAUCGUACCCCAAACCGACACAGGUGGUCAGGUAGAGAAUACCAAGGCGCUUGAGAGAACUCGGGUGAAGGAACUAGGCAAAAUGGUGCCGUAACUUCGGGAGAAGGCACGCUGAUAUGUAGGUGAAGUCCCUUGCGGAUGGAGCUGAAAUCAGUCGAAGAUACCAGCUGGCUGCAACUGUUUAUUAAAAACACAGCACUGUGCAAACACGAAAGUGGACGUAUACGGUGUGACGCCUGCCCGGUGCCGGAAGGUUAAUUGAUGGGGUCAGCGCAAGCGAAGCUCUUGAUCGAAGCCCCGGUAAACGGCGGCCGUAACUAUAACGGUCCUAAGGUAGCGAAAUUCCUUGUCGGGUAAGUUCCGACCUGCACGAAUGGCGUAAUGAUGGCCAGGCUGUCUCCACCCGAGACUCAGUGAAAUUGAACUCGCUGUGAAGAUGCAGUGUACCCGCGGCAAGACGGAAAGACCCCGUGAACCUUUACUAUAGCUUGACACUGAACAUUGAGCCUUGAUG
rnacentral:rRNA from 1 species